UACAGAGGGUGCAAGCGUUAAUCGGAAUUACUGGGCGUAAAGCGUGCGUAGACGGUUAUGUAAGUCGGGUGUGAAAGCCCCGGCUCAACCUGGGAAUGCCAUUCGAGACUGCAUAGCUAGGGUGCGGAAGAGGGAAGCGGAAUUCCGGUGUAGCGGUGUAAAUGCGUAGAUAUCGGAAGGAACACCAGUGGCGAAAGCGGCUUCCUGGUCCAGCACCGACGUUCAGGCACGAAAGCGUGGGGAGCAAACAGG
rnacentral:rRNA from 1 species